CGCAGAGAGAAAGCUCCUGGUGUUCCAUCUUGCUUGUUUUGCCUGGUGGUGUUUUUUAAGACAGGGUCUUAUCAGCUUCGAACUUGAAAUCCCCCUGCCUCAGUGUCUGGAAUGCGGACUAACCUGCUGAUUACUAAAGGAAAGGGCGGAUUUCUCAGUACUCCCUCUGGACUGGAGCACGGUGUGAACAGUAGUUACUGCUGUAAGGAAUGCAGGUUUAGAGUGCUAGGAUUACGGGCACGUACCUACCACCACUCUCAGCAGAGCAUCGAUUUUUAUCCAGGGUAAAGGGAGCAAAGGACACAUGAUCCAGAGGGCGGUGUAAUUAUCAACUAUUCCAGAGAACUGAUAAACUGAGGCCCAGAGAGGAACAGUCACUGGCCCAGGCUACCGGACCAAUCACAGGCAGAAAUGGGGCCAGCGCCCUCACACGGGCAGCAGCUUCGUCCCCUGCCUGAGCUCAGCAUCUCAAGGAAGGCGAGAAGUCACAGGGCUCAAGGAUUCUGAGCCCAUCCUGUAUCUCCACAGACAUGGAGGCGCUCCACAGUCCACACUGCCCAGCAGACAGAAAGGGCAGAGCGGCCAUUACCUGAGUGAGGCUCAUUAUAAUCAAGUUUCUGAGAACCCGGGACAGGGCCCGUUCUGAGUCACAAUGACGAGGACUGAAGCACCAGGCAUGGACCUCACAGGAUGUGGCUGCUACAGUGCUGCUGCUAUCAUCAGAAGUGCCACACAGUGCCGUCACUCAGGCAGGUGUCUGUCACGUCGUUCACAACUGCAUCGCUGAAGCUGGGGAUGGGCAGCCCUGGGCUACACACCUCGCUGGGCGUCUGUGCAGACUGGCCUCUGUGCCUGGCCCUAUGAUGGCCCUGAUGAGUGCCACAGCUGGACCUUCUGAUGUAAAUGACGGACCCAGAUCUGUCUAGUCUGCACUUCGGACAACGACUUGUCACGAGGUCGGUGACACUAUGAAGCCUGGAUACCCUGGAGGAGGGGAC